GGGAGGCUUCUUCUGGUUAUGUAUAUUGUUGAGUAAAUGUUUUAUGUCAAUCAGUCGUAGUAAACUUGGGUUAUCAUCAUGACGUAGGAAAGUGUAACAAACAGUUAGAAUGAGUGAAUACUAUAGGGCGUGAACAUUAUUUUUUUUUUAUGGCGGUAGCUCUUUUAAAUUAUGGUUACAUCUCAGUCAGGGUAUUCAUACGACUCAUUGCUUACAUGAUUUUAUUAAAAGGAAUUACGAAGGUUUACUCAUUUUUAUUUUAAAUCAUCAAAACCAGUGUAUAAAUCAGAAAGUAACAUGUAAGGUGUCACAAGUUGAAGCGCUCUUUCAUCUCCAAGUCCCAUGCAAUUAAGAACUCUGAACUGAUAUAAAAAAAGCCUUGGUCCAUCUUUACAUUUCUGAAGUCUUAGACUAGCAAAUUUGACAUCAAUUUGAGAACCAAGUCAUCAUUUUUCGGCCUCUUCUACCAGGCCACACUGUUCAGUUAUUUUACGAAUUGCAAAAUGUAAAGGUACUUUAUAUUUCACGAUUCCGUCCAGGCACUCAGGGUCAAUAUAACUUAUCAAACAUUCCACAUACUUCUGAAUUAUUUUCAUCAUAGGAC
rnacentral:lncRNA from 1 species